rnacentral:rRNA from 1 species
ACGGAGGGUGCAAGCGUUGUUCGGAAUUACUGGGCGUAAAGCGCGCGUAGGCGGCUCUUUAAGUCAUUUGUGAAAGUCCACGGCUCAACUGUGGAAGUGCAUGUGAAACUGGAGAGCUUGAGUACUGGAGGGGGUGGUGGAAUUCCCGGUGUAGAGGUGUAAUUCGUAGAUAUCGGGAGGAAUACCGGUGGCGAAGGCGACCACCUGGCCAGAUACUGACGCUGAGGUGCGAAAGCGUGGGGAGCAAACAG